ACAGCUUUGGACAAAAGUCUAUAGCCAGUGCAUUCGUAACUCCCCAUGCACAAGAGCUGACUGUGGCUCUGGGAAGACAUUUUCCUCAUUUGAUUUCUUUUUUCUCAUAGUCUUCUUGUGCAGUUCUCAGGURUCUGCCACCUAUUAGACUUCCACCUGUGUGGGUCCUGUGCUUGAGAGAGUCCCAGGACUUGUCAGCUGGUAUAGGCCUCAUAAAAGACAGCUCU
rnacentral:lncRNA from 1 species